GAGUGUGCCGUCAAUUGACCGCCCAGAAGCUGUGGUUAACCGCAGCUUAAUUGAUGAACGCUGGGUGGCCUUUGUUUGUCUGCCGAACACGUGGCAGCAGCUAUUUUACCUCCCGAACGGCCCGUGGUGUUCAGCGCCCAAACUAUGGAACUGAAGGACACACCCCCACCACAACCCCGCUGUUUUAAGUCUAAAAUCAGCGGGGGACCCUAAACAAACCAACCAUGGCCUGUUCCACCGUCUCUGGAAUGGCCAGAUUAAAACGGUCGAGCCCGACCUCAGUCAAAUGAACCCCAUCCUUCUCAAAACCUGAUGAAAUGGGCAUCCCCCAAACCCCUAUAACAAACCGCGAAACCCAGCGGUUAAACCCUUCGUGGCAGCG